ensembl:snRNA U2 U2 spliceosomal RNA
ACCAUUUCUUGGCCUUUUGGCUAAGACCAAGUGCAGUAUCUGGUCUUGUCAGUUUAAGAUCUGAAGGGGCCUUGGUGGCCCAGUGGUUAAGAGCUCGGCUGCUAACCAAAACAGCAGUUCGAAUCCACCAGCU